rnacentral:rRNA from 1 species
CACGCAGGCGGUCGUGUAAGUUUGGGGUUACAGCUCCCGGCUCAACUGGGAGAGCGCCUUGAAGACUGCAGGACUUGAGGGCCAGAGAGGGACACAGAAUUCCGGGUGUAGUGGUGAAAUGCGUAGAUAUCCGGAGGAAUACCAAAGGCGAAGGCAGUGUCCUGGCUGGUGACUGACGCUGAGGUGCGAAAGCUAGGGGAGCGAACGGGAUUAGAUACCCCGGUAGUCCUAGCCGUAAACGAUGACCACUAGGUGUGGGAGGUAUCGACCCCUUCCGUGCCGCAGCUAACGUGAUAAGUGGUCCGCCUGGGGAGUACGGUCGCAAGAUUAAA